rnacentral:rRNA from 1 species
GAUGAACGCUAGCGGCAGGCCUAACACAUGCAAGUCGAGGGGUAACUAGAGUGAUAGCAAUAUUACUUUGGCUAGACCGGCGCACGGGUGCGUAACACGUAUGCAACCUACCUUAUACUGGGGAAUAACUUCGAGAAAUCGGCGCUAAUACCCCAUAACAUUGCGAAGAGGCAUCUCUUUGCAAUUAAAGCUCCGGCGGUAUAAGAUGGGCAUGCGUCCAAUUAGCUAGUUGGUGAGGUAACGGCUCACCAAGGCUACGAUUGGUAGGGGUCCUGAGAGGAUGAUCCCCCACACUGGUACUGAGACACGGACCAGACUCCUACGGGAGGCAGCAGUGAGGAAUAUUGCGCAAUGGACGAAAGUCUGACGCAGCCAUGCCGCGUGCAGGAUGACGGCCCUAUGGGUUGUAAACUGCUUUUGUACGGGAAUAAACCCUUCUACGUGUAGGAGGCUGAAGGUACCGUAAGAAUAAGCACCGGCUAACUCCGUGCCAGCCGCCGCAGUAACAC